UACAGAGGGGGCAAGCGUUGUUCGGAAUUACUGGGCGUAAAGGGCUCGUAGGCGGCCAACUAAGUCAGACGUGAAAUCCCUCGGCUUAACCGGGGAACUGCGUCUGAUACUGGAUGGCUUGAGUUCGGGAGAGGGAUGCGGAAUUCCAGGUGUAGCGGUGAAAUGCGUAGAUAUCUGGAGGAACACCGGUGGCGAAGGCGGCAUCCUGGACCGAUACUGACGCUGAGGAGCGAAAGCCAGGGGAGCAAACGGG
rnacentral:rRNA from 1 species